UGUGUCAAAAAGCACAACAUAUGUGUCAAAAGGUCCGUUUGUGUAAUAUUUUGAAAUAUUUUUAGGGCUCUUUUGGCUAAUUUAGGGUUAAAAGUGUCUAAAUCAGGAAGUUAUUGCACAAAGAACCUAUUUGAUGCAUUGUAUACAAGCAGGCAGUACCAGUAGUUGAGUUAUCUAUGGCAGGACCCAAACCAUAAUAAAUUGAGGCUCAUCAUAUUGUAGUAGAACCCUAUUAGUAAGAGAAAUACAAUUUCAAGGCAAGCAGCCUGAAGGAGAAGAAUGACAUAAGGUACAGAUAAAGAAAAGCAAUAAAUUAAUCAUACUCUAUUUUUAGGUACGAUAACUUAAGUCCUAUGGGGGAUUUAAUGAACGUAAGCUAGAACCUCAAUAAGGUCUUGAAGGGCAGAAGCCAUAACCCUAAAGAUAUUCCAGAAAUGUUCCCUUAAAAUGUUUUGGAAAUGUCUUGAAAAGGUCCUAGAACAUUUGACAUAGCUGCCUAAUUAAAAUUCCAAAAAACAUGAUUUUUUUGACCUCAACUGCCUGGACCGAGUAAAAAAAUUAUAUAUUCACACCCGAAUCCAAAAUUAGAAAACCUCCAAUUAGGACGUCAAACGAUAUGACGUACACUCGUCGGGUCUGCGACAAUUUUAUUAAUAAAAGAGAAACUCCCGUUGUGAACGUGACGCCCACACGUAAUUUAAAAGAAAACGUCGGAUAAUGAAUGAAACUGUGGAUACAUUCCUGGUAGGACAAUACCUCUUAGGAAUAUCCAUCGAAAUUUUACGUAAAACUAUCGUUUAAGGAGCAUUUAGGGAAUGUUAAUUGUUAGAUAGUUAACAAAAAAAGGUCCCAACCAAAACGGCUAUAACUACCCAAAUCCUUAACCUAGAAACAUGGUUUUACCCUCAAAUUAAACCUCAGGAAGUCCUUUUUCUUAGCGUACAAAAAUUAUGAAAAUACUCCAAGUAGAUCCUAAGUUAUAAAUGUUUGAUAAUAAAUAAAAAUUUUAUUCUUGCAA
rnacentral:lncRNA from 1 species